rnacentral:rRNA from 1 species
GACGAACGCUGGCGGCGUGCCUAAUACAUGCAAGUCGAGCGGAUCUAUCCGUCGGGAUAGGUUAGCGGCGGACGGGUGAGUGACACGUAGGUAACCUGCCCGUAAGAUCGGGAUAACUACCGGAAACGGUAGCUAAGACCGGAUAGCUGGUUUCUCCGCAUGGAGAGGUCAUGCACCACGGCGUCAGCUGUGACUUACAGAUGGGCCUGUGGCGCAUUUGCUAGUUGGUGAGGUAACGGCCCACCAAGGCGACGAUGCGUAGCCGACCUGAGAGGGUGAACGGCCACACUGGGACUGAGACACGGCCCAGACUCCUACGGGAGGCAGCAGUAGGGAAUCUUCCGCAAUGGACGCAAGUCUGACGGAGCAACGCCGCGUGAGUGAUGAAGGUUUUCGGAUCGUAAAGCUCUGUUGCCAAGGAAGAACGUCGCGGAGAGUAACUGCUCUGCGAAUGACGGUACUUGAGAAGAAAGCCCCGGCUAACUACGUGCCAGCCGCCGCAGUAA